rnacentral:rRNA from 1 species
UACGUAGGGGGCAAGCGUUGUCCGGAAUCAUUGGGCGUAAAGCGCGUGUAGGCGGUUCGAUAAGUCUGCUGUGAAAGUCCAGGGCUCAACCCUGGGAUGCCGGUGGAUACUGUCGAGCUAGAGUACAGAAGAGGCGAGUGGAAUUCCCGGUGUAGCGGUGAAAUGCGCAGAUAUCGGGAGGAACACCAAUUGCGAAGGCAGCUCGCUGGGACGUCACUGACGCUAAGACGCGAAAGCGUGGGGAGCAAACAGG